GGGGGUGUAGUUUAGUGGUACAACACUUGCCUAGCAUUUGAGAGGCGCUGGAUUCCAUCUCCAGCACCACCU
rnacentral:tRNA from 1 species